UGUUUGUCUUCAAGAAACCUGGCUUAA
rnacentral:sRNA from 1 species